rnacentral:rRNA from 1 species
UGAACGGAGAUUAGCCCAGCACCGAAGUCUAUCUACGCUUGUAGACAGGACAAUGUGGUGUUAAGGCGUAUGCCUGGGGUGACUCGUCUAUUCGAAGUCCUGCUUUGAUUUUGGCACUGUAUUUGCCCCAUAGAGGGUGAAAGGCCCGUACGAAUAGACAUGCUGCAAUCCAGAGUCGCCCUCAGAUACAUACGUCCUUGAGUCGGAUUGCUUGAGAAUGCAGUCCAAAGUGGGUGGUAAACUCCAUCCAAGGCUAAAUACCUGCACGAGUCCGAUAGUAAACAAGUACCGUGAGGGAAAGUUGAAAAGUACUCUGAAGAGAGAGUAAAUAGUACGUGAAGCUGCCUGUCGAGAAGCUGGUGGAGUCAAGCUCCAUGUCUGGAUGAUUAGCAUCGAGUGGCGUGCUGUGUUAUGGCCGUCCUGACGAUUUGCCUGCAAAUGGUACGGGGGUUCUCCUCCUCAAGAUUACUGGUCAGUGAUCUUGUGUCGUCAGAGUUGGUCGGCCGCUCGUGUCCUAUCACCGGACAGCCAUCACGGCUGAUAGUCUCAUGGCGCCUGGUCGCCAAACCAUGCCUUUGUGAGCUGAUACUUGCGAGGUGUGGGAUGGCAGGUGGUUGCUAGGGCAGCAAUGUCUUAGCAGCUUAUAUUGUUAUUCAGCCGACUACCAGGAUCUUUUACUGUUUGGAGCUAUCAGUUAAUGCUCUGCCUUGUCCUCUCCAGGGCAAGGUAGUGAGAGCCGUGGUGUUGGAGUA